rnacentral:tRNA from 1 species
UCGGGAUAGCUCAGCCGGUAGA